rnacentral:rRNA from 1 species
GACGAACGCUGGCGGCGCGCCUAACACAUGCAAGUCGAACGGAAAGGCCCUGUACUUGUGGGGUGUGCGUGUGCCGAACGCGGGAGUAUAACGCGUGUAACCUGCGCUUGUCUUUGGGGUAAAAUCAGGAAACAGGGGUUAAUAUACGACAGAAGAACCUGCAGCAUGGGGGGGGUUGGAAAGUUGCGGCGGUGGGGGAUGGACGCGCGGCUUAGCAGCUUGUUGGUGGGGUAGUGGCUUACCAAGGCAUUGACGGGUAGCCGGCCUGGGAGGGUGACCGGCCACAUUGGGACUGCGGUACGGCCCAGACUCCUACGUGGGGCAGCGGUGGGAAAUAUUGCACAAUGGGCGGAGGCCUGGUGCAGCGUCGCCGCGUGCGGGAUGACGGCCUUCGGGGUAUAAACCGCUUUCGCCUGUGACGAAGCGUGAGUGACGGUAAUGGGUAAAGAAGCACCGGCUAACUACGUG